CACACCGCCCGUCACACCAUGGGAGUCAGUUGUGCCGGAAGCCGGCGAUCCAACCCGCAAGGGGGGUAACCGUCCAUGGUAUGGCUGAUGACUGGGGUG
rnacentral:rRNA from 1 species